UAAGCGAACGCUAACGCCUUGCAUUCACUGCUGGUUGAUGAUAUGAGUGUGAGUUGGGUUUGUUUAUGAGAGGAAUGAGCUGAGUCUACCUGCUAGCGAUAAACAACAACUCACAAUGUCUUCUCUGUAUCUGCAUUCACAUAAUUCCAACUCAGCGUCGGCGAUCAACUCGAGUUAUGAGAUGAAUUCAUAAAUUCUCUGUUGCAUUCAUAGCGUGAAUUAAUUCUUGCAACCCUUUAUUACAUAGCUAUAUAAUUAUUCGUCGCUAAUUGAUAACAAGCGCAAUUGUUUGUGAUGAACUGGACUAAAGUCGGUAUCAUCACUGGAAGUAUUAAUUUGAGCAAUGUAAAUACCAUGCGAACAGAAUGUGUAGCAAUGGUGCCAAGUGUGGUAAAAUCAAACAUAAUUACAAAAUAGUGAUUUUGAAACCGUACUAAAUCAAACAUUUUUUACAAUUUUUUUUUCUAACGUGUAACUUCAAAUUCGUGUAAGAAGAAACCGUGUAAAAAUAGAGUUGGGUGUAUAACAACUGAUCAUUAA